UCCAGUUUCAGUUAUUUUUCACUUCUGAUAAAGUGAAGCAGUUCGACGACAUAACCGGAGAGCAACUGACGAAACACGGAGUGCCGCGUGACGUUUCGUUUGAAUUCUCCCCGACGCCGGCGACGGUUUUCCGACGCCGGUGAAAUUCUCCAAACUCCGACUAUCUUCUCGUCGUCGAUUUUAGCAAUAAUUGGAUCUUUGGGCAGGGCUUUAAGGAAUUUUUGCGUAGUGUUAGGCAAAAAUUGCUCAAUAGUUUAGGCAGUGAAGCUGACUGAGGCCAUGCCUGCUAUGAAGAAGAAGACUGAGCGUAGUAGCAUCGGGCAUAUAUUCAACAAAUUGACGAAGGAGAUUGGAAAUCCUGUUGAGUUUGAACUUCCAGAUUGGUUGAAUAAGUGGAAGCCUACGCCGUACUCCUUUAUAAAGCGCAAUAUAUAUCUUACCAAGAAGAUUAAGAGGCGUCUUGAGGAUGAUGGGAUAUUUUGUUCCUGCAACUCAUCAAUGGGAUCUUCUGGUGUUUGUGGUAGAGAUUGCCAUUGUGGGAUGCUUCUAUCUAGUUGCUCCUCAGGCUGUAAAUGUGGGAGUUCAUGUCUUAAUAAACCAUUCCAGCAUCGACUUCCAAAGAAGAUGAAACUGGUGAAGACUGAGAAAUGUGGAUCAGGGAUUGUGGCAGAUGAAGAUAUUCAGCAUGGAGAAUUUGUGAUUGAAUAUGUGGGAGAAGUUAUUGAUGACAAAACAUGUGAGGAAAGGCUUUGGAAAAUGAAACACCGUGGGGAAACAAACUUUUACUUAUGUGAAAUCAAUCGAGAUAUGGUCAUUGAUGCCACAUACAAGGGAAACAAAUCAAGAUAUAUAAAUCAUAGUUGUUGUCCCAAUACUGAGAUGCAGAAAUGGAGAAUUGAUGGCGAGACAAGGAUUGGCAUAUUUGCAACUCAUGACAUAAAGAAGGGCGAACAUCUUACCUAUGAUUAUCAGUUUGUUCAAUUUGGUGCAGAUCAAGAUUGUCACUGUGGUGCUCUAGGCUGCAGGCAGAAGCUGGGGGUUAAGCCUAGUAAGCCUAAGGUGCCCUCUUCAGAUGCUGCAUUGAAAAUAGUUGCAUGCCAGGUGGCUGUGUCCUCUCCCAAGGUGAAAGCAAUCCUAUCUGGAACACAAAAUGUUUACCAAAAUGGAGUUCUUCAUAUAGGAAGUUCAAUACACAAUCAUAGUCAGAGAAGGACGUGCCCUCAUAAUUGCAUCGGGGAACUUAUUAGAAUUUUUGGCCACACAAAUAAUAGGUCCUUUGGGAUUAUAAAACGUUUUGAUAGCAAUACCAGAAAACACUCGAUUAUGUAUGAAGACGGCAAAAUUGAAUUUCUUGACUUGUCAAAAGAAGAUUGGGAGUUCUGUAAGGUCUAAUGUAACUGUAGGGAUUUUGUUGGAAAAAGGCUAGUUGGAUUAGUGUUCUGCCACUGUGACGUGUUCACAGUUUUGCUGAUUGAUGGUGGUGAUUCUUAAUGUAGCCCCCUUCUUAGACUGUAUGUUGUAGCAUGAAGAUUCACCUUGCAAUGGGUUUACAGAUAUGUUGUACUAAUUGUAAUCUUUGUCUUCUACCAACCCUUUUUUUUUUUUUUUUUUAAAUCUGGCUAAUAAGGUGUUUAAGAAAUAUUUUUGUUGAUGCAUUAGGACGUUUCUUUUCUUUUCUUUUCUUUUCUUUUUUUUUUUUUAUAAAAAAAUCCGCUUUUGCUGAUUCAUUCAUCUUUUGUAAGCAUUCCAAAUGUAAUAUCCUCUUUUGUUGAUUCAUUCAUCUUUGUAAGCAUUACAAAUGUAACAUAGCCAUAAAUCCAAUGGUACUGAGAUUGAAAGAGAUUGUUGUAAAACUAUUGAGUUCUUGUU